rnacentral:rRNA from 1 species
GAUGAACGCUGGCGGCGUGCCUAAUACAUGCGAGUCGAGCGAACGGACGAGAAGCUUGCUUCUCUGAUGUUAGCGGCGGACGGGUGAGUAACACGUGGAUAACCUACCUAUAAGACUGGGAUAACUUCGGGAAACCGUAGCUAAUACCGGAUAAUAUUUUGAACCGCAUGGUUCAAAAGUGAAAGACGGUCUUGCUGUCACUUAUAGAUGGAUCCGCGCUGCAUUAGCUAGUUGGUAAGGUAACGGCUUACCAAGGCAACGAUGCAUAGCCGACCUGAGAGGGUGAUCGGACACACUGGAACUGCGACACGGUCCAGACUCCUACGGGAGGCAGCAGUAGGGAAGCUUCCACAAUUGGCGAAAGCCUGACGGAGCAACACCGCGUGAGUGAUGAAGGGCUUCCGAGCGUAAAACUUUGUUAUUAGGGAAGAACAAAUGUGUAAGUAACUGUGCACAUCUUGACGGUACCUAAUCAGAAAGCCACGGCUAACUACGUG